rnacentral:rRNA from 1 species
UACGUAGGGUGCGAGCGUUACUCGGAAUUACUGGGCGUAAAGCGUGCGCAGGCGGCUUUGCAAGACAGAUGUGAAAUCCCCGGGCUUAACCUGGGAACUGCAUUUGUGACUGCAUGGCUAGAGUGCGGCAGAGGGGGAUGGAAUUCCGCGUGUAGCAGUGAAAUGCGUAGAUAUGCGGAGGAACACCGAUGGCGAAGGCAAUCCCCUGGGCCUGCACUGACGCUCAUGCACGAAAGCGUGGGGAGCAAACAGG